UGACCUCGUGAUCCACCCGCCUCGGCCUCCCAAAGUGCUGGGAUUACAGGCUUGAGCCACCGCGCCCGGCCCAACCUCCACUUUUUCAUCUCCAGCCCUGAGCACUUCCUGGGACCCACAGCCUUACAUCCACCUGCCCCCAGCCCAAACACCCACAGAGAGUAAAGGAGGAGGUAGCCCGUGUGCCCUCCCGCACUGCCUCCUCCACUCCUGUCUUGGGAAGGCUUUCCCAUGGGCUGAGCAACCCCCUCACCUUUGGCACCUGCCCUGCUUCUCUGGCCAGCUUUCCACAACCUCCUCUUUUCGGCCACACCCAAGUCCACCUGUUCACGAACACCUGGGGUGGGCCCUGGCCGCACCCUGGCCUCUACCCACCUAUCCCAGGAAGUGCCUGAGCCCUGCACCUACAGACCCUCCCAGAGAAAGCCCUGGCUUUGCAACCAGCCAUCUUCUCAUGAGACACAGGCAGACGCAGGGCCACAGGAGCACGAUGGUGCCCCAGUGGGUCUUGGAGCAUUAGGCCAGGGGCUUCAUGCCUGCCCUGGGGAAGGGUGGCCAAAGUGCCAUGGGAGAUAGGGAGAUGGUGUGGGUGAGCACAUGGGCAGGAGCUACAGGAGCCUGGGGCCUGUGGAUCACAGACACCUCCAGGCAAGUGCCAAUUCACACAGGCACAGGUGGCUGGGGGUUGCCCAAAGACCAAGAAGCAGAGUGCCUGGUGUGGACGUGAGAGGAGUGGGAAGGCCGGGCGUGGGGCUCACGCCUGCAAUCCCAGCGCUUUGGGAGGCCGAGGCGGGCGGACCAUGAGGUCAGGAGAUGGAGACUAUCCUGGCCAACAUGGUGAAACCCAGUCUCUAAUAAAACACAAAAAAUUGGCCAGGCGUGGUGGCAUGCACCUGUAAUCCCAGCUACUCAGAUGGCUGAGGCAGAGGAAUCACUUGAACCUGGGAGGCAGAAGUUGCAGUGAGACAAGAUUGCCCCACUGCACUCCAACCUGGGCGACAGAGUGAGACUCAGUCUCAAAAGAAAAAAAGAUGAGUGGGGAGUGCACACUAGAGCCAGUUAGGUACAUUCAUCCAAUAAGCUUUUCCCCAGUGCUUCCUAGGUAACUGCUCUAGGUGCAGGAAACAAUGCAGGCAGCAGGACAGGAAUGGGCUGUCUGCUCCCCCUAGAGCUCAGUGUACACCCUUCCUUUCCUGGGAGGGCUGUUCCAGGCCCCCAGGGGACAGGACACACUGCGCUGGGUGGGGCUGGUGCCAACAUGUGGGCAGGCCUGUGAGACACUCUGCAUUUGGGGGCUGUGGUCUGGGGAAUACCCAUGUCUGGAAGCAGCCUCUCUCCCUGCAAGGGCUCCCGACCCCAGCCACGGAUACUUAAGGAAGAGCCAGGCCAGGGCGCGCACAGGCAAUCGCCGACAUCCGUGGCUGUCCAGCCCUACCCUGGGUGUGGAGGUCGUGGCCCAGCUGCCUGACCCAGAGCUCGGCGCUUCCAUUUGCACCUCCCACCCCCGGCUUCACAAGGUCACCUCCAGGAACUGGGUCUUUUUGUGUGUCGUUUUCUGGAGAAGGAAGGUGAUCUCCCAACUCCCGGGGCUGUCUGCCUCCCCUGCAGCUGGGCAGGCGCCAGAGGCCCCCCACCUGUGAUAUCCGGCUUUCCUCCCACCACACUCGCCUGAGAGCCAGCAUCUGUUUUCCUGGGCUUGCUCAAGCUCUCCUCCGUGUCAGCCCCUCCUCCAUGCCCUUCUCCCUCAGACCCCAGCCCCCCAUCCCUUUCCCGCCCACUGGGGUUCAUCGCUCAGGCUGCAGGAGGGAACUGGAAGGACGUCCUCCAGUGGUCUGGCUGGCGCUGGGUGUCCGAGUCAGUUGAGCGCCCCCCACCAGUCUCCCCGAGGCAGUCAUGGGGGUGCUGGCGCCUGGACGAUGUCUCAUCCCCGGGAGCCGUUUUCCCACCGGCUCCCUGGGCUCCAGCCGCCCCACGCGAGCCCCCGUUUGCUUCUGGGGCCAGGAUCGCCCCUCUUCCAAGGCAGGCUUCCCUUCCUUCCACGCCAAAGACGCGCAGCCACGUUUCCCUGGGCCUCUAGCCCGUGAGAUCGCCGGGUGUAUCCCGACUCCCGCCGGGACGUGCGCUCCCCCAGGGCAGGGCCUGCCUGUCCCCUUCCGCGGGUCGCCAGCAGCCAGCACAGGCCGCAGACAGCGGUCCGCAGAGCGGACCAACGGAGCCGACCCUCGCAGGCUUGGAGCGGAACAGGGCGGGGCAGAGCCCGCGAGGCUGCCGCUCGCCGGAACCCGCGGGAGGGCAGCCGGGCCGGGCGGAGCGCACCGCGCGACGGACCGACCGCGCGGGUUCUGCUGGCCACUUCCGGUGUCGCGCGGCGGCUCCCGGCAGGAGCGGAAGGGCACACCGCCAGCUCCGGGCCAGGCUGCGAAGGCCGCGGACCCGAGCCGGGAACGACCUUGGGCGGACGACCCUGAGCCGCGCGUCCCGCAGCCAUGGAGCAGGACGACCCGGCCGAGGCGCUGACGGAGCUACGCGAGCGGCGGCUGGGCGCGCUGGAGCUGCUGCAGGCUGCGGCCGGCUCGGGCUUGGCGGCCUACGCGGUGUGGGCGCUGCUGCUCCAGCCCGGCUUCCGGCGCGUGCCGCUGCGGCUGCAGGUGCGGGGCGGGACCAGGCCGGGGGCGGGGCCGGGUAGGGGAGCGCGGUUGCCGCUCAGGGGCUCAAGGUCUGGGCGGGGCCGGGGUGAGCUCCGCCCCACGUCGAGUGGUUCGGGCCGGGAGCGGCCAGUGGACUCCCGCCGCCUCCCGGUCCAGGUGCCCUACGUUGGCGCAAGCGCGCGGCAGGUGGAGCACGUGUUGUCGCUGCUGCGAGGCCGCCCCGGAAAAACGGUGGAUCUGGGCUCUGGCGACGGCAGGAUCGUGCUGGCGGCCCACAGGUGCGGCCUCCGCCCAGCCGUGGGCUACGAGCUGAACCCGUGGCUGGUGGCGCUGGCGCGGCUGCACGCCUGGAGGGCCGGCUGUGCCGGCAGCGUCUGCUAUCGCCGCAAGGAUCUCUGGAAGGUAACCUGGGGAGCCCUGGCCACCCGCUGACAGCCCAGGGUGCGGCUGACACCUGCCAGGGCUGGGGGCCGGGACUCGGAAGCUGCCGUUACCCCGUGCCCACCAGGCCUGUCCCCCGCUGGGGCAACUCCUCUUCCGGCAGCUCCCACUGCUGGAGGACAAGCUGAGAGCAGAGCUGCCUGCCGGGGCCCGCGUGGUGUCUGGGCGCUUCCCGCUCCCCACCUGGCAGCCUGUAGCUGUGGCUGGCGAGGGCCUGGACCGAGUCUGGGCCUACGAUGUUCCUGGGGGUGGGCAGGCUGGGGAGGCCGUCUCCUCGCGGAUACCCAUCCAGGCUGCCCCCCGACCUAGUUCUGCCUGCGUCCUGGGGGCCCCUGUUUCUCAGGCCAGCUGAGUGUUCAAAUACGAUAAAGACUCUGUGGGUUGUA